AGCGAACGCUGGCGGCAGGCCUAACACAUGCAAGUCGAACGAUGUAGCAAUACAUAAUGGCAGACGGGUGCGUAACGCGUGGGAAACUUUCUUUUAGUACGGAAUAGCCCAGGGAAAAUUGGAUUAACACCGUAUACGCCCCACGGGGGAAAGACUUAGCGCUAAAAGAGGUGCCUGCGUUGGGUUAGUGAGUUGGUGGGGUAAUGGCCUACCAAGACGAUGAUCCAUAUCUGGUCUGAGAGGAUGAUCAGCCACACUUGAACUGAGACACGGUCCAGACUACUACGGGAGGCAGCAGUGGGGAAUAUUGGACAAUGGAGGCAACUCUGAUCCAGCCAUGCCGCGUGAAUGACGAAGGCCUUCGGGUUGUAAAGUUCUUUUAGUGGCGAAAAUAAUGAUGGUAUCCACAGAAAAAGCUCCGGCUAACUUCGUGCCAGCAGCCGCCGCAG
rnacentral:rRNA from 1 species